AGUGAACGCUGGCGGUAGGCCUAACACAUGCAAGUCGAACGGCAGCACAGUAAGAGCUUGCUCUUACGGGUGGCGAGUGGCGGACGGGUGAGGAAUACAUCGGAAUCUACUUUUUCGUGGGGGAUAACGUAGGGAAACUUACGCUAAUACCGCAUACGACCUACGGGUGAAAGCAGGGGAUCUUCGGACCUUGCGCGAUUGAAUGAGCCGAUGUCGGAUUAGCUAGUUGGCGGGGUAAAGGCCCACCAAGGCGACGAUCCGUAGCUGGUCUGAGAGGAUGAUCAGCCACACUGGAACUGAGACACGGUCCAGACUCCUACGGGAGGCAGCAGUGGGGAAUAUUGGACAAUGGGCUCAAUCCUGAUCCAGCCAUACCGCGUGGGUGAAGAAGGCCUUCGGGUUGUAAAGCCCUUUUGUUGGGAAAGAAAAGCAGCAGGUUAAUACCCCGCUGUUCUGACGGUACCCAAAGAAUAAGCACCGGCUAACUUCGUG
rnacentral:rRNA from 1 species